GACCAGGUGGCAGAUUGGCUAUGCCGUUGGUUCGCAACCCUUCGUAAGCCGGUUCGAUUCCGGCCCUGGUCU
rnacentral:tRNA from 1 species